rfam:Otolemur garnettii contig032684, whole genome shotgun sequence.
GCCAGGCAUUGUGGCGGGUGCCUGUAGUCCUACCUACUUGGGAGGUGGAGGCAGGAGAAUUGCUUGAGCCCAGGAGUUGGAGGUUGCUGUGAGCUGUGAUGCCACGACACUCUACCGAGGGCAACACCUUGAGGCUCUGUCUCAAAAAAAAAUUUUUUUCUUACCAAUGAAACUUUUUUUUUUUUUUUUUUUUAGACAGAGCCUCAAGCUGUCCCCCUGGGUAGAGUGCCGUGGCAUUACAGCUCACAGCAACCUCCAACUCCUGGCUCAAGCGAGUCUCCUGCCUCCG